GAUGAAGAACGUAGCGAAAUGCGAUAAGUAAUGUGAAUUGCAGAAUUCAGUGAAUCAUCGAAUCUUUGAACGCACAUUGCGCCCGCCAGUAUUCUGGCGGGCAUGCCUGUUCGAGCGUCAUUUCAACCCUCAAGACCCCUUCGGGGGACUUGGUGUUGGGGACCGGCACAGGGGCCUGCCUGCUUGUCUUGCAGCGCCCUCGCCGCCCCCGAAAUGAAUUGGCGGCCUCGUCGCGGCCUCCCCUGCGUAGUAGCACAACCUCGCAACGGGAACGUGACGGCGGCUACUGCCGUAAAACGCCCAACUUUUAAGAGUUGACCUCGAAUCAGGUAGGAAUACCCGCUGAACUUAAGCAUAUCAAUAAGCGGAGGA
rnacentral:misc_RNA from 1 species